GGAGUGAAAUAGAACCUGAAACCGUAUGCGUACAAGCAGUGGAAGCAGACUAGUUCUGUGACUGCGUACCUUUUGUAUAAUGGGUCAGCGAGUUAAUCUCAGUGGCAAGCUUAACCGAAUAGGGGAGGCGUAGCGAAAGCGAGUCUUAAUAGGGCGUAUAGUCGCUGGGAUUAGACCCGAAACCGGGCGAUCUAUCCAUGACCAGAUUGAAGGUUGGGUAAUACCAACUGGAGGAUCGAACUCACGCCUGUUGAAAAAGUCGGAGAUGAGUUGUGGAUCGGAGUGAAAGGCUAAUCAAGCUCGGAGAUAGCUGGUUCUCCUCGAAAGCUAUUUAGGUAGCGCCUCGUGUAUAACUGUUGGGGGUAAAGCACUGUUUCGGCUAGGGGGUCAUCUCGAUUUACCAAACCGAUGCAAACUCUGAAUACCAACAAGUUUGAGCACGGGAGACACACGGCGGGUGAUAACGUCCGUCGUGAAAAGGGAAACAACCCAGACCAUCAGCUAAGGUCCCAAAAUCUAUGCUCAGUGGGAAACGAUGUGGAAAGGCAUAGACAGCCAGGAGGUUGGCUUAGAAGCAGCCACCCUUUAAAGAAAGCGUAAUAGCUCACUGGUCGAGUCGGUCUGCGCGGAAGAUUUACCGGGGCUAAGCAUAGUACCGAAGCUAUGGAUUCACACAUUGUGUGAGUGGUAGAGGAGCGUUCCGUACGCCUGAGAAGGUUCAUUGAGAAGUGGGCUGGAGGUAUCGGAAGUGCGAAUGCUGACAUAAGUAACGAUAAUGCGGGUGAAAAACCCGCACACCGAAAACCCAAGGUUUCCUGCGCAACGCUAAUCGACGCAGGGUUAGUCGGUACCUAAGGCGAGGCUGAAAAGCGUAGUCGAUGGAAAACAGGUUAAUAUUCCUGUACUGCGAUUAACUGCGAUGGGGUGACGGAGAAGGCUAGGUUAGCCGACUGUUGGAAUAGUCGGUUUAAGCAUGUAGGGAGGCUCUUUAGGCAAAUCCGGAGAGUCAAUCCUGAGGUGUGAUGACGAGUUUGCUUGCAAACGAAGUAAUUGAUGCCCUGCUUCCAAGAAAAACCUCUAAGCAUCAGGUUAAUGGUAGCCGUACCCCAAACCGACACAGGUGGGUAGGAUGAGAAUUCUAAGGUGCUUGAGAGAACUCGGCUGAAGGAACUAGGCAAAAUGACACCGUAACUUCGGGAUAAGGUGUGCCUUGAGUAAGUGAAACCCCUGCGGGUGGAGCUGAGCAAGGUUGCAAAAAAUUGGUGGCUGCGACUGUUUAGCAAAAACAUAGCACUCUGCAAACUCGAAAGAGGACGUAUAGGGUGUGACGCCUGCCCGGUGCUGGAAGGUUAAUUGAUGGGGUUAUCUCACGAGAAGCUCUUGAUCGAAGCCCCAGUAAACGGCGGCCGUAACUAUAACGGUCCUAAGGUAGCGAAAUUCCUUGUCGGGUAAGUUCCGACCUGCACGAAUGGCGUAACGAUGGCCACACUGUCUCCAGCCGAGACUCAGUGAAAUUGAAAUUGCGGUGAAGAUGCCGUAUACCCGUGGCUAGACGGAAAGACCCCGUGAACCUUUACUAUAGCUUGACACUGGACUUUGAAUCGAUUUGUGUAGGAUAGGUGGGAGACAUUGAAGCAGGAACGCCAGUUCUUGUGGAGUCAACCUUGAAAUACCACCCUGAUUUAUUUGAAGUUCUAACCUCGACCCGUGAAUCCGGGUUAGGGACAGUGUCUGGUGGGUAGUUUGACUGGGGCGGUCUCCUCCCAAAGAGUAACGGAGGAGCACGAAGGUACCCUCAGGCUGGUCGGAAAUCAGCCAAUGAGUG
rnacentral:rRNA from 1 species